rnacentral:rRNA from 1 species
AUUGAACGCUGGCGGCAUGCCUUACACAUGCAAGUCGAACGGUAACAGGUCUUCGGAUGCUGCCGAGUGGCGCACGGGUGAGUAAUACAUCGGAACGUGCCCGAUCGUGGGGGAUAACGGAGCGAAAGCUUUGCUAAUACCGCAUACGAUCUACGGAUGAAAGCAGGGGACCGCAAGGCCUUGCGCGGACGGAGCGGCCGAUGGCAGAUUAGGUAGUUGGUGGGAUAAAAGCUUACCAAGCCGACGAUCUGUAGCUGGUCUGAGAGGACGACCAGCCACACUGGGACUGAGACACGGCCCAGACUCCUACGGGAGGCAGCAGUGGGGAAUUUUGGACAAUGGGCGAAAGCCUGAUCCAGCCAUGCUGCGUGCAGGAUGAAGGCCUUCGGGUUGUAAACUGCUUUUGUACGGAACGAAAAGACUCUUUCUAAUAAAGAGGGUCCAUGACGGUACCGUAAGAAUAAGCACCGGCUAACUACGUG